UUACAAAAUACCGUGGUUAACUCCUCAAA
rnacentral:sRNA from 1 species